GAUGAACGCUGGCGGCGUGCCUAAUACAUGCAAGUCGAGCGAACAGACGAGGAGCUUGCUCCUCUGACGUUAGCGGCGGACGGGUGAGUAACACGUGGAUAACCUACCUAUAAGACUGGGAUAACUUCGGGAAACCGGAGCUAAUACCGGAUAAUAUAUUGAACCGCAUGGUUCAAUAGUGAAAGACGGUUUUGCUGUCACUUAUAGAUUGAUCCGGGCCGCAUUAGCUAGUUGGUAAGGUAACGGCUUACCAAGGCAACGAUGCGUAGGCGACCGGAGAGGGUGAUCGGCCACAUUGGAAGGGAGACACGGUCCAGACUCCUAAGGGAGGCAGCAGUAGGGAACCUUCGGCAAUGGGCGGAAGCCUGACGGAGCAACGCCGCGUGAGUGACGAAGGCCUUCGGAGCGGAAAAAUGGGUUACGAGGGAAGAACAAAUGUGUAAGGAACCAUGCACGUCUUGACGGUACCUAAUGAGAAAGCCACGGCUAACUACGUG
rnacentral:rRNA from 1 species